rnacentral:lncRNA from 1 species
CCGAUUUUAAAAGCCUUUUUAAAAUAGAGUUGCGGUAAACGUGCCAUUUUUUUUUUUUUUUAACUUGGCCCACGUGACGUACAGACCCGCCACAAAUACAAAGUUCCUCUAUCCAUUCAAACAGAGUCUCCUUUGUAUUUGCACGGCGUACCAACGAUACAACAGGAUCACAACCACAACCUAUAUUUACCAAACAACAACCAAAGCAUGAUAUGCAUUUCCAUACAGCUAACAAUCCUUAGAAUGAUGCAUGCUUCUAAGCACUCCUUAGGCGCUGGAUGAUACAAUGCACAAUACAACAAACAUCCUAUUUAAAAGUGCUCCCCACACGGAAACUUUUGUUUUUUAAACUCUAAUUCAAUCAUUUAUAAAAGCCAUUCGAAAAUCUUUUUAAAACUGUUUCCCACACGGAAACUUUAUUUUGAAAACCGACUACCUCGAAGGGUAGAAAACCACGAUGCAUAACUACAAGAAAACCAAAUCUCCACAGAACCAAAACCACAGAUCGAAAACUCCAAUCUCAUGUAAUAUAAAAUAUCCAUAAUCUCAUGCAUAACGGAAAUCACAACAUUCAAACAUCUAACUGAACCAUUUAUUUAAAUGACUACUAAAGGCGGGAA